UACAGAGGUGGCAAGCGUUGUUCGGAAUUACUGGGCGUAAAGGGCGCGUAGGCGGCCUUCUAAGUCAGACGUGAAAUCCCCCCGGCUUAACCUGGGAACUGCGUCUGAUACUGGAAGGCUUGAGUGCGGGAGAGGGAUGUGGGAAUUCCAGGUGUAGCGGUGAAAUGCGUAGAUAUCUGGAGGAACACCGGUGGCGAAGGCGGGCAUCCUGGACCGACACUGACGCUGAGGCGCGAAAGCUAGGGUAGCAAACGGG
rnacentral:rRNA from 1 species